rnacentral:rRNA from 1 species
UACGUAGGUGGCAAGCGUUGUCCGGAUUUAUUGGGCGUAAAGGGCGCGUAGGCGGUAUAUUAAGUCAGGUGUGAAAGUUUUCGGCUCAACCGGAAAAGUGCACUUGAAACUAAUAAACUUGAGUACUGGAGAGGUAAGCGGAAUUCCAUGUGUAGCGGUGAAAUGCGUAGAGAUAUGGAGGAACACCAGUGGCGAAGGCGGCUUCCUGGUCUGUAACUGACACUGAGGCGCGAAAGCGUGGGGAGCAAACAGGAUUAGAUACCCUGGUAGUCCCUGA